UUCGUAUCACAAGAAUAGUGUUUUGUGUGCGUAAGAAAGAAGGAAUGGCAGCCCAUAACGGUCUUUCUCUUCUCUUUAUUGCCAGUGCAUACAAGGGCGGGUGGUAACGGCCAAUAUCUUGAGAUUUCUGAAACCCAAGCCAUUGUCACUUCCCAUGCUGAUCAUGUAUCGCCUAUAUAUAUUAAGCUUUCAUGUGACCUCGAGCACUUCAUGAAAAGAAAGAGAGAGACGGCAUGGCAACGCCUAAGGAAGAUGAAAGAAGGCUUUAUCAAUGUGCAAGAAAGUAUGAAAAAAUUGUAAAACAGCUGAGUGAGAUGAUGAACACCAGAACCAGACUGCCAAAGCGACGACGAGUAUCCUCAACUAUAACAAAAUUUCUCAACGAAAUGCGGGCUAACCCUUCAACAGAUACUGAUGGCUCUGCAAGUACAAGAGAAAGAGAUCCAGAAUAGUUUCGUUUCUUAUAGGAAUAACUCAUGUCGUUUUCAACAGUCUAGGAAAAGAUGCCAUACAGAUAGUUUCUACUAGAUUGCCUGAAGGGAAGUGACAGGGAUAAUGGAAAUGAAUGACAGUGCUAUAUGCCUACGUUAGCAUGUCUAUAUGUAACUAUGUUCAAGUUCUAAGAGAAAGAAAGAUAAUUUCUUUCUACAAACUUUUUAAAGGGAAUUGUCCGGUAUAAGAAAGUUCCUUUUAAUUUCUUUGUA